CCUACGGGUGGCUGCAGUGAGGAAUAUUGGUCAAUGGACGCAAGUCUGAACCAGCCAUGCCGCGUGCAGGAAGACGGCUCUAUGAGUUGUAAACUGCUUUUGUACGAGGGUAAACUCAGAUACGCGUAUCUUUCUGCAAGUAUCGUACGAAUAAGGAUCGGCUAACUCCGUGCCAGCAGCCGCGGUAAUACGGAGGAUUCAAGCGUUAUCCGGAUUUAUUGGGUUUAAAGGGUGCGUAGGCGGUCGGAUAAGUUAGAUGUGAAAUCCCGAGGCUCAACCUCGGAAUUGCCUCUGAUACUGUUAGGCUAGAGAGUAGUUGAGGUAGGCGGAAUGUAUGGUGUAGCGGUGAAAUGCUUAGAGAUCAGACAGAACACCGAUUGCGAAGGCAGCUUACCAAGCUACGUCUGACGUUGAGGCACGAAAGCGUGGGGAGCAAACAGGAUUAGAUACCCGGGUAGUC
rnacentral:rRNA from 1 species